rnacentral:rRNA from 1 species
AACUCUCGGCAACGGAUAUCUAGGUUCUUGCAUCGAUGAAGAAUGUAGCGAAAUACGAUACUUGGUGUGAAUUGCAUAAUCCCGUGAAUCAUUGAGUCUUUGAACGCAAGUUGCGCUCAAAGCCAUUAGGUUGAGGGCACGCUUGCCUAGGCGUCA